rnacentral:tRNA from 1 species
GGGGUUGUAGCUCAGUGGUAGUAGAGUGCUUGCCUUGCAUGCAUGAAGCACUAGGUUCGAUCCUCAGCACCA